rnacentral:ncRNA from 2 species
GGACGAGCCUCUGGAGAGACUGUGAGCAGCUAAGUGUUCGUAAGCUUAAUUGUCACACAGCGCCGAAGGCGAAAGUGUAAACUCAGCUAUUAAACCUAGCUAUGAGGUUACGCGAAACGCUCAGGCAAAAGGACAGAGGAGAGGAU